UACGAAGGGGGGCUAGCGUUGCUCGGAAUCACUGGGCGUAAAGGGUGCGUAGGCGGGUCUUUAAGUCAGGGGUGAAAUCCUGGAGCUCAACUCCAGAACUGCCUUUGAUACUGAGGAUCUUGAGUUCGGGAGAGGUGAGUGGAACUGCGAGUGUAGAGGUGAAAUUCGUAGAUAUUGGGAGGAACACCAGUGGCGAAGGGCGGCUCACUGGACCGGUUCUGACGCUGAGGCACGAAGCGUGGAGCAACGGA
rnacentral:rRNA from 1 species